CUCAGAUGGAGUGAUGAGCUACCCAGUCCCAACUUCCCAGGCACCCUUGAACAAGGGGCCAGGGGUACAUGGCAGCCUUGUCUCUAUCAACCUGUGAAGUUGCUUAUGGUGUUAAAAUGUUGCCAGAGAUCAAGGAUGUCCAGACAAACACCAGCUAAAUCUAAAAAGAAGUCAGAAAACUAAUACAAGCUUAAAAUACCAAUUUCAGCACAGAUAUGCUUAUCUUUUAGACUUACUUUAUUUACCCACCUCACAUGACAUGGGGAAGAAUUCCUGAAGAACGUUUUCCCACUGAUUGUUUAAAAUCCUUCCUCUCAAUAAAGUCCUUUCUAAGUACACAUGGUUCCGUUUCAUUCUCUGGCUCAUCCUCUUAAUCACCUGCCUUUAGCGUCUCUAAUUUACUUAUUUGACAGUAUUUAUUGAGCAUCUGCUAUGGGCCAGGCACCAGGUUAAGAUGGCAGGAAGCCGAAUGAGACACGGUCCUGACCUGCGAGGGCUCGUGGUUGAGUCACGAAAAACUACACUGAAAGAAUGGCAAAUAGCGAGAUGUGUGCCAGGAAAAGACACGUGGCAAGUAAACUCACUCCUGGAGGAAAUCAAGAAAGAGAAUGGUUGGGUUUUCUCAAUAAUCCAUAGACUAUCAGGGCCAGAAGAGACUUUACAGAUUAUCUGUUCUAACCCCCUCAUUUUAUAAAUGGAAAACAGAGAGGGGAAGAGCCACACAGUUUUAAAGCUGGGGCCAACGCGUAAUGAAUUCUUUCUCUUUUCCUGGCUGAUAAUUUGUUGUGUGUCUCUCAAAUUGUCUCUUGAGGUAGGUAAAAUAGAAAUCAUCAGUAUACCACUGAAAGAAAUCUAUUUUGUUUUCUGACUAAAAAUCUACAAGAUAUACCUCAUCAACAUUUGUUUGAAAAUGUGACUAUUCUUUGAAGAUUACUAUCAUCGAUUCACAUUCAGUGCCUUGCCUGGGUAUUUUUAAGUUGUUCCUUAUUCCAGCAUUCCUACCACUAGUCUCAGCUAUCACAGUCCUUUAUAGAAAACGUCAUCAUGAUUCUUGUUGUUUCUCUACAUUUACAUAGCACCUCGGAGUUUAAGAAGCAUUUUCAGAUCCAUUGCUUCCACUGGGGGAGUCAAGUUGUUGGCUUGAUAGCUUUAGAGGGACAUGACAAGUAGAAGGAGGUUUGGAAAGGAGCAAAGCACGUGGUGACAGUGCUGGGGAACAAGACCUACAAAGCCGGGUGACAGGAGUAGGACGCCUGGGACUGCUCUUGUGGGGCCAGAUCACCAGGGGAGGGCUAGGGAAUGGAUUUCUAGUCCAUGAAGUCUAGUGAGCGGAAAGGAAACACAUCAAUAAACACAUCAAUAAACAUACUGAAUAAUGCCUGUGUGCAGGGCACCAUGCUAAGUGGAUUCAAAGAUGAGUGAUCAACGUACCCCCUUCAAAGAAUGUUUUGGAUUUCUGUUCAAUCUCCUUAAGCCACCGGGAGUGGAAGGCAUGAGUGAGCAGAAGCCACUGAGCAGAGAGAAGUGGAUGUACCAAGCUCCUGCUGUGUGGCCUCGGCUUCUCCAGGAGGUUUGGACUUAACCCCUAUUAGUGACUCAGGCUAAGGCUCUUCAUGGAAGAAUGGGCUGCCUCCCCGGGACUUGCUGGAAGUGUCAUGAUAUUAAUAUAUUCCAGCGGACUUGAACACCCAUCUUACUAGCCGACUUUUGCUGUCAACUGUCUCCCUUGCUGGCUUUGAUGGAGUAAGCUGCCAUAGAGAGAGGUCCUGGAGAAGAACUGAGGGUGGCCUCUGGCUGAGGGCCCACAAGAAGCUGAGGCCCUCAGGCCAACAACCCUCAAGGAACUGAAUUCUGUCAACAACCACAUGAUUUUGGAAGCAGAACCUUCCCCGGUCAAGCUGCAGAUAAGAUCCCCAGCCCUGACUGACUCCCGGAUUAAAGCACCGUAAGAGAAUCUAAAACAGAGGAAUCAGCUAAACUGUGCCUGGACUCCUGACCCACAGGAACUGUGAAAUAAUAAAUGUGCUGUUUAAAAGUACGAAGUUUGUGGUAAUUUGUUAUGCAGCAGUAGAUAAGUAACACAACAAAGCAGUUAUAACCUUCUGUACCUGACAUCCUGUGAGCAUGACAAUACUCUUCUUAUGAUACCAGCAUUACACAUGUAACAGAAACCACUCCAUUAUGACAUACACAAACAUAUUGUAAGCUGCUGUUACUAUGCUGGGUUGAGAAUUAUUCAUCUUUCUAGAACUCCUAGGGUACUUGUUCUGUAUUUAGAUUCUCAUUUAAUCAGGACUCAUUUCCAGGCUUCUUCCUGCUGAUUGUAAAUACCAUGCUCACACACACAGGUCCACAUUCACACAUACAGAUCCACAUUCACACACACAGGUCCACACACACACACACAGGUCCACGUUCACAUACAGAUCCACAUUCACACACACAGGUCCACACACACACACACAGGUCCAUGUUCACAUACAGAUCCACAUUCACACACACACAGUUGCACACUCACACACAGGCCCACACUCACACAGGCCCACGUUCACACACACAGGUCCACAUUCACACACAAGAUCCACACUCACACACACAGGUCCUGCAUCUCGCUGAAUUUAAUUAAGGAUCAACCUGAAAUAAAAU
rnacentral:lncRNA from 10 species